CGCUGCUCCUUCCACAGCUUCAUCUGGUCGCUGGCGGGAUCCCGGCUGUCCGCCAUGCUGAGGGACGCGAGCGGCGGAGCACGGCCCGGAGCGCACGGUCUCCACCCUCGGAGAGCGGAGGCUCCAGCGGCCGGCCGGAGUAGGGGACUUCAGGCUCCGCCAAUCAGCGCCGCCCCCCGCCCCCUCGGGAUCUCAGCCUUCUGAUUGGUCCCUGGGAUUUCAGAAGGGACAGGAUUGGGUGGCCUCUCGGACCGCGUCUCCUGAUUGGUCGCUUGGAUUCCAAGAGGAACGGGACUGGAAGCCCGGUGGGGCGAAAAGCAGAGGGUGGGCGGAGACUGGGAGGAAGCAGGGCGCCUCGGUGACAUCCCCCCACCCCACUCCCGGUGAAGGGUGCUCUCUGAACUCUAUCACAAGUUUAGGGUUCAGUUCCUCUUGGUGAAUUUAUCGUCCCCUAAUGCAAGCAUUGGCCUAAGGAAGGAUGGCUGAGGAUGGAGGUACCAAGCCACAGGAGCAGUGACAGAAGCCAAGAUAAUUAUUUACUUAUGUUUGGAGUCCACCCAGUCUCUAACAAACUGAGAAUCUUCACAUAUUUCUCUUCUGUUCUCUUCACUGUGGCCUUAUGAAGUCAACAUGGACAAGUGGAGGAGGAGAAGCGCACAGGAAGAGAUGUAUUACAAUUCACAGUGGGCCUCUGGCUGUAAGGGGUGGAGUGAACACACUGCACCUCGGGGGUCCCAGCUCGCCGCAGACCAGGUCUGAAUGUGCAGAAGACAAAGAUUCGUGAUCUAAGUGGCAUGUGGCCUCUGCUCUGCCUAUAUUGCUUUACCACCACAAAUCUGUUUCCAUAACUCAGAGACAGCCCAGAGGUCCCUUGGUAUCUGGUUAUGGCCAUAGUUCCUGAGGGGAAGUUCUUAUGCUCUUUCUCUACUGCAUAUGUUCCACGCUACUAAUCUUAGUGUUGGAGAAAAGAAGAAAAACAAGACCUGAAGUUGGGUUUUGCUCUUACUUCUUUUUUCUGAACUUAAAAAUAAUGUAUAUUUGCUAAUAGCGGCUUGAAAAUGCAGACAAGUAUGUCAAAGAAGCAACUAUUCAUAGAUGCUAAUAAAUAACUAUCUUUAUACCAA